ensembl:snRNA U6 U6 spliceosomal RNA
GUGUUCAAUUCUGUAGCAUAUAUACUAAAACUGGAACAAUACAGAGAAGAUCAGCAUGGCUCCUGCACUAGGAUGACACUCAAAUUCGUGAAGCAGUCCAUGCUUUU